GUCUCUUUGAGGGUUUAAUAAUAAAGAGUUUGGGCCUGCUCAGUGAAAUUUUUACAGCUGCGGUAUUAUACCUGUACUAAGGUAGCAUAAUAAUUUGCCUUAUAAAUUAGGGCUAGAAUGAAUGGUUUGACGAAAAUUAUACUGUCUCUAUUUUAAUUGAUAGAAAUUAAUUUUUAUAGUGAAAAAGCUUAGAUAAUUUAAAGGGACGAGAAGACCCUAUUGAGCUUUAUAUUAGUUAUAAUAAAUGGUAAGAUAUGAAUAAUUUAAUUAAUUUAGUAUUAUGUUUAUUAUGUUUAAUUUUGAUUGGGGUGAUCAAGGAAUAAAAUUAUAUUAUUUAACUUCCUUAUGAAAAAUAAUUUUUUAGAAUAAUUAACCAAUGAUAUUGCUUAUAUGAUAAGUUACCAUAGGGAUAACAGCGUAAUUUUUUUGGAGAGUUCAUAUUAAAAAAAGAGAUUGCGACCUCGAUGUUGGAUUAAAAUAACCAUAGGGUGAAGAGGCUUUAUAUGGUGAAUCUGUUCGAUUUUUAAAAUUUU
rnacentral:rRNA from 1 species